AAAGUUCAAAGGGUUUUUGUUUAUUUAUCUAUCCGUGUAUUUAUUUAUUUACUGCAGUUGGAGCUCAGAAGAGAGUGCUUGUGCUUAUGUUCUUGGGCAUCUUCCUUGUCCCAGCUCUGCUUUUCCUUAUCGAUUCUGGUCAUAAUGUGAUUUCUCUCUUGUACAGCUGAGGAAGAAAUAAUGGUCUUGUGGAGAUGUUUCUGAGGAAACAUCUCAUCAGGAAACACCAGGAAACUGCUCAUCCCAGAUGGACACAGCCCAGCACUGCUUGAGGCUGUCCCUUGGAGCCCUCCAGCAACUGUAUUAUCAUGGAUGCUGGGGAUCAGAGCUGUACAGCAGAUGGCUGGAGAGAAGACGUGAACCUGUCGAUUGCAGGGACUAAGUGGGUCUGAAGGGCCUUUUGUUUGAUCAGAGCUGUGGUUAUUACCCCUGACAGUCACAGGCGGGGAAGUCUCCAAGCUGUGGAGGGUCUCUCCCCCAGGUCACAGCCUGACCAGGACCCAAAAGGUGGGAGCCUUCCUCCACCCACUCCUCACCUUGCUGAGGCACAGUCUGCAGUGUUGGAGGAGAAAUUGGUGGUGUGGAGCUCAAGCAUGUGCUCAUUUCACACUCUCUGUAGCAGCUCUGUUGUGGAGGAAGGUGAGGAGGAAGAGAGGCCACUCUGCGAGCCAUGAGCUGUGCGCUCGGAGCUCCAGAGGCUGCUCCUGGGGCAAGUCUCCACUCAGUGGGAGUAGUUCAUGCACUACCAUGAAGAAUGCAGCCAUGAGGAACAUGUGGGGUGUUCUGCUGCUCAGCACAGUGCUGCUCACAUUGAUCCUCUGUGGAACAAUCCAUGCUCCUUGGGAAAGCAGUGCUAUUCCUGCUCCGAACUGUGACCCUACAACUGGAUCCUUGAUGGGUGAAGAGCAAGCAGUUCACCUAACGAAUUGUGCAUACACAUGCAUGCAUACUCCACACUGGAAAGCACCUUUCAGAUGCAUCCUGUGCUGAGUACCUCCAAACUGCAUUAUCCUUGGAAAUCUCCCCUGUCUCAAGAGCUUGCAAGCAAUAGUGAGUGGCCCUGGCUCCAGUAUUGAUACCUGUUCUGCAAUCAACUCUGCCAUCAGUUUUGGUUUUGAUAUUGUUUCCAGUUCAUUAACCAUGGCUGGAAGAAGGUGGCUUGCCACAUGGCAGUCAGCAAAGCAGAAUAUCAGAUGUGGCUUGAUCAAAUUCAAAGCAGUACGAGAUGUGGAACAGAUUACAGGCUGGAUCACAUAAGCCACAAGCCACAUUAAAAGUAUAAGAACUACAAUAGAUAUUCUGCUCUCACACUUCAACACGAUCCUGAAUGAAAGGAUUUCCCUUGCCUCCAGCCCUUCUCUCCCCCAAAAAAGGAUUUCUGUCUCCAGGAAAUGCAAUCCUGUUGCAUGAAGUACCUUGGGUACUGUGAGCAUCUUUGCAUAACAAUGUCAUGUCAAACAAAUUCCCUCCUGCUCCUUGUCUACUGCCUGAUGUAUUGUGCCC
ensembl:lncRNA